rnacentral:rRNA from 1 species
UACAGAGGGGGCAAGCGUUGUUCGGAAUUACUGGGCGUAAAGGGCGCGUAGGCGGCCUGUUAAGUCGAACGUGAAAUCCCCGGGCUCAACCCGGGAACUGCGUCCGAUACUGGCGGGCUUGAAUCCGGGAGAGGUGAGUGGAACUGCGAGUGUAGAGGUGAAAUUCGUAGAUAUUCGCAAGAACACCAGUGGCGAAGGCGGCUCACUGGCCCGGUACUGACGCUGAGGUGCGAAAGCGUGGGGAGCAAACAGG